rnacentral:rRNA from 1 species
GAUUCUGGCUCAGGACGAACGCUGGCGGCAUGCCUAACACAUGCAAGUCGAACGGAAGUAGAAAUACUUUAGUGGCGAACGGGUGAGUAACACGUGAGCAACCUGCCUUACACACAGGGAUAACAGUUGGAAACGACUGCUAAUACCGGAUAAGACCACACUAUGGCAUCAUAGAGGGGUCAAAGUGAUUUAGCGGUGUAAGAUGGGCUCGCGUCCAAUUAGCUAGUUGGUGAGGUAACGGCCCACCAAGGCGACGAUUGGUAGCCGACUUGAGAGAGUGAUCGGCCACACUGGAACUGAGACACGGUCCAGACUCCUACGGGAGGCAGCAGUGGGGAAUAUUGGGCAAUGGAGGAAACUCUUACCCAGACAAUGCCGCGUGAGUGAUGAAGGUCUUUGGAUUGUAAAGCUCUUUGAUUGGGGACGAAUAAAUGACGGUACCCAAAGAACAAGCCCCGGCUAACUAUGUGCCAGCCGCUGC